CGAUGCAAACAUACCAGCACUAACUCAUUUCCCAUCAAAACUUCUAAGUUAAUCAUGCUUGGCGAGAGUAGUACUAGGAUGGCUGGACCCCUGGAAGUCCUCGUGUUGCAUCCC
rnacentral:rRNA from 1 species